rnacentral:rRNA from 1 species
AUUGAACGCUGGCGGCAGGCCUAACACAUGCAAGUCGAGCGGAGGAAGGUAGCUUGCUCCCGGAUCUAGCGGCGGACGGGUGAGUAAUUCUUAGGAAGCUGCCUAUUCUUUGGGGACAACAUCACGAAAGGGAUGCUAAUACCGCAUACGUCCUACGGGAGAACGCCGGGGAUCAUCGGACCUUGCGCUAAUAGCUGAGCCUAAGACGGAUUAGCUAGUUGGAGAGGUAAAGGCCUACCAAGGCGACGAUCUGUAGCGGGACUGAGAGGAUGAUCCGGCAAACUGGGACCUAGAAAAGGCCCAGACUUCCACGGGAGGGAGCAGUGGGGAAUAUUUGACAAUUGGGCGAACCCUUAACCAGCCAAGCCGCGGGUGUGAAGAAGGCCUUACGGUUGUAAAGAACUUUAAGCGAGGAGGAGGCAACUUUAGUUAAUACCUAGCGAUAGUGGACGGUACCCGCAGAAUAAGCACCGGCUAACUCCGUG